rnacentral:lncRNA from 7 species
GAAGACUGACCUCUUCCUAAAAGUGUGCAUACAAAUAUGGAAUACUUGUAGGAUACAUGCACUUAGACUUUUAACAUCAUAAUAUCACUUUGAAUGAUAAAGCCACAUGAAGUUGAAGAUCACUUGUGGGUGAUAUUUAGGGUGAGGUAUCUAUAGUUUGGACUUUAAUACAUAUAUUAUAAACCAAUUUAAGGAAUAAGUUGCGUGUCAUGAUCCUAAACAAUUUAUACAGUGUAGGUUUUCUACAAGGUUUGAGAGUGAAAACGAACAAACCUACCAUAUGCUUUACCUAGUGUGUGGACAACAAUAAUUUAGAUAUGUAAAUGCAAAUUUGGGCAUAAAAGAACUAGAUGCUAAUUGAAAUUGCAAGUAUUCAAAUCUAGUACAAUAUGGAACUAGAAUUAAAUGCUUCACUCUUAUCAAUAUUCUUCACACUAGGU